AGGUUUGAGAGACUUCACUGGUUUGAUGGUUUUUACUUAUUAGUUUGAUGUGGUCCUGUUCAUACUUUAUUUCAUUUGUAGAAUAUUCCUAAAUGAGGCUGGGCAUAAAUGUUUAGAUGGUUUCCUUUAUUUUAUUUUUAUCAAUUAGACUAGCCAUUUUUGUGAUGUUGUCAUGUUGGAUUAGUAAUUUUUGUGAUACUAUGAUGGUGGACUAGUCAUUUUUUGAUGCUGUGAUGCUGGUUUAUCUUUAUGAAUUUUUAUUUAUGGAUUUU
rnacentral:misc_RNA from 1 species